rnacentral:rRNA from 1 species
AUUGAACGCUGGCGGCAGGCCUAACACAUGCAAGUCGAGCGAGCGGCGGACGGGUGAGUAAUGUCUGGGAAACUGCCUGAUGGAGGGGGAUAACUACUGGAAACGGUAGCUAAUACCGCAUACCAUCAGAUGUGCCCAGAUGGGAUUAGCUAGUAGGUGGGGUAAUGGCUCACCUAGGCGACGAUCCCUAGCUGGUCUGAGAGGAUGACCAUCCACACGGGAACGUGGAAACGGUCCAGACUCCUCCGGGAGGCAGCAGUGGGGAAUAUUGCACAAUGGGCGCAAGCCGGAUGCAGCCAUGCCGCGUGUAUGAAGAAGGCCUUCGGGUUGUAAAGUACUUUAAGCGAGGAGGCGUUACUCGCAGAAGAAGCACCGGCUAACUCCGUGCCAGCAGCCGCGGUAAUUC